rnacentral:rRNA from 1 species
AGACCCGAAACCCGGUGAUCUAGCCAUGGGCAGGUUGAAGGUUGGGUAACACUAACUGGAGGACCGAACCGACUAAUGUUGAAAAAUUAGCGGAUGACUUGUGGCUGGGGGUGAAAGGCCAAUCAAACCGGGAGAUAGCUGGUUCUCCCCGAAAGCUAUUUAGGUAGCGCCUCGUGAAUUCAUCUCCGGGGGUAGAGCACUGUUUCGGCAAGGGGGUCAUCCCGACUUACCAACCCGAUGCAAACUGCGAAUACCGGAGAAUGUUAUCACGGGAGACACACGGCGGGUGCUAACGUCCGUCGUGAAGAGGGAAACAACCCAGACCGCCAGCUAAGGUCCCAAAGUCAUGGUUAAGUGGGAAACGAUGUGGGAAGGCCCAGACAGCCAGGAUGUUGGCUUAGAAGCAGCCAUCAUUUAAAGAAAGCGUAAUAGCUCACUGGUCGAGUCGGCCUGCGCGGAAGAUGUAACGGGGCUAAACCAUGCACCGAAGCUGCGGCAGCGACACUGUGUGUUGUUGGGUAGGGGAGCGUUCUGUAAGCCUGUGAAGGUGUGCUGUGAGGCAUGCUGGAGGUAUCAGAAGUGCGAAUGCUGACAUAAGUAACGAUAAAGCGGGUGAAAAGCCCGCUCGCCGGAAGACCAAGGGUUCCUGUCCAACGUUAAUCGGGGCAGGGUGAGUCGACCCCUAAGGCGAGGCCGAAAGGCGUAGUCGAUGGGAAACAGGUUAAUAUUCCUGUACUUGGUGUUACUGCGAAGGGGGGACGGAGAAGGCUAUGUUGGCCGGGCGACGGUUGUCCCGGUUUAAGCGUGUAGGCUGGUUUUCCAGGCAAAUCCGGAAAAUCAAGGCUGAGGCGUGAUGACGAGGCACUACGGUGCUGAAGCAACAAAUGCCCUGCUUCCAGGAAAAGCCUCUAAGCAUCAGGUAACAUCAAAUCGUACCCCAAACCGACACAGGUGGUCAGGUAGAGAAUACCAAGGCGCUUGAGAGAACUCGGGUGAAGGAACUAGGCAAAAUGGUGCCGUAACUUCGGGAGAAGGCACGCUGAUAUGUAGGUGAAGUCCCUCGCGGAUGGAGCUGAAAUCAGUCGAAGAUACCAGCUGGCUGCAACUGUUUAUUAAAAACACAGCACUGUGCAAACACGAAAGUGGACGUAUACGGUGUGACGCCUGCCCGGUGCCGGAAGGUUAAUUGAUGGGGUCAGCGCAAGCGAAGCUCUUGAUCGAAGCCCCGGUAAACGGCGGCCGUAACUAUAACGGUCCUAAGGUAGCGAAAUUCCUUGUCGGGUAAGUUCCGACCUGCACGAAUGGCGUAAUGAUGGCCAGGCUGUCUCCACCCGAGACUCAGUGAAAUUGAACUCGCUGUGAAGAUGCAGUGUACCCGCGGCAAGACGGAAAGACCCCGUGAACCUUUACUAUAGCUUGACACUGAACAUUGAGCCUUGAUGUGUAGGAUAGGUGGGAGGCUUUGAAGUGUGGACGCCAGUCUGCAUGGAGCCGACCUUGAAAUACCACCCUUUAAUGUUUGAUGUUCUAACGUGGACCCGUGAUCCGGGUUGCGGACAGUGUCU